rnacentral:lncRNA from 1 species
AACAGUGAUUUCUAUUUGUUAACUACAGCUAUUUGGGGAUGAUACAUGACAAAUUGGAGAACUUCAACGCAGUGAAAUACAGAACUGAAAGUGCUGUAACAAUUAAGAGCUUUCUUGGCACCAGAAGCAGCCUUCCAUCAGCUUCAGUGCUCAGCCUGCAUUCACCUAGGCAGCCUGACCUCCUGCAACCAACCUUGAGAGGAAGUGAAC